rnacentral:lncRNA from 1 species
AGUGCUGAUCAGACCUAGUAAGCACAAAGUCGCAAAUAUCCCAGACACCCUGACCACAGACACACAUGUAUACCAAGGACAGGAAUAAAUACCUAAAACUGUAAGGCACUGCCACCUUCUUAGAUGUCUUGGUGAGAGGUCCACUGUUCAGAGGGCACACUGAGAUAUAAGGCGAAGGCCUUUUUGGAUCUGUAGUGUGCUACCUCUUUAAUGGGAAAUCUUAGAGGCUAUCAGUAUUGAAUGGUGACCAGAGGAAAAUACUGCUCUACAUAUAGGUCUGGGCUGUCAUACAAACUGAUCUGCUACUGGGGCCUCAUGACCUAGCAGAUCCAAAAGUAUUCAACAUGUUUGUGGCAGAUGCAAAUGCUGUUUAGAACCUUCGAGAGGUCGCUGUAGAAGCACAAUGCAAAACUUCAGGAUUUUGGAGCAAAACUUUGUCAUCUUUUGCACACACAGUGUUCUCUUUUGAUAGCUCCUGGUGUGCUACUGGACCUUAGUAGAGAUAGAAUGUCUGACUCUGAGCCACUAAGUAACCAUUCAACCUCUUCUGCCCUUCAAGAACUGGGAAAUGUCUGAAAAAACAAGUAAUGAAACGUGUGUAUAGCAGCACUCCAUUACAAGUUGUAGUUUUAUAUACGAGAUUGGUCUCAAGCAAGACCUAAAGGUAAAAGUAAGAGGCUCAGAUUUGCAUGGCUCCUCCUCUUGCUGCAUUAACUGCUGUCUCUCAACGCAAGCAUACUGUAACAUAUUGAUGGAGGAGGAAAAUGCUGAGUCUCGUUUACUGAUAAUUCUAUGUAACAUGCUGGCAUCACCUAAAGUGGAGAACUGCGAGAUUACUGCCCCAUCCAAGAAAACCCUUCAGCAGCCCCAUUCUUCAGGAACCGUGAAGGACUAUGGCAAAGAGAUGAUAAAUAGCCAAAGACGUCAAUGGCACCCAUGGACAUAGUAAGCAUAGUAGGAGCUGAAAAACUAGAAGCAAUGACAAUGUCAACUAUUUUGAGCAAAAAGAAGCAGUGUCUUCGGAACAUUUGAUCAUAAAACCAGAAAUUAAAGGAUGAGAAAAA